UACGGAGGGUGCAAACGUUGCUCGGAAUUAUUGGGCGUAAAGCGCACGUAGGCGGCCGAAUAAGUCGGGUGUGAAAGCCCUGGGCUCAACCCAGGAAGUGCACUCGAAACUGCUCGGCUUGAGUAUGGAAGAGGGUUGCGGAAUUCCCGGUGUAGAGGUGAAAUGCGUAGAUAUCUGGAGGAACACCGGUGGCGAAGGCGGCAUCCUGGACCAACACUGACACUGAAGAGCGAAAGCCAGGGGAGCAAACGGG
rnacentral:rRNA from 1 species